AACAGGAUUAGAUACCCUGGUAGUCCAUGCCGUAAACGAUGAGUGCUAAGUGUUGGAGGGUUUCCGCCCUUCAGUGCUGCAGCUAACGCAUUAAGCACUCCGCCUGGGGAGUACGACCGCAAGGUUGAAACUCAAAGGAAUUGACGGGGGCCCGCACAAGCGGUGGAGCAUGUGGUUUAAUUCGAAGCAACGCGAAGAACCUUACCAGGUCUUGACAUCCUUUGACCACUCUAGAGAUAGAGCUUUCCCUUCGGGGACAAAGUGACAGGUGGUGCAUGGUUGUCGUCAGCUCGUGUCGUGAGAUGUUGGGUUAAGUCCCGCAACGAGCGCAACCCUUAUUAUUAGUUGCCAGCAUUCAGUUGGGCACUCUAGUGAGACUGCCGGUGAUAAACCGGAGGAAGGUGGGGAUGACGUCAAAUCAUCAUGCCCCUUAUGACCUGGGCUACACACGUGCUACAAUGGAUGGUACAACGAGUCGCAAAACCGCGAGGUUAAGCUAAUCUCUUAAAGCCAUUCUCAGUUCGGAUUGUAGGCUGCAAUUCGCCUACAUGAAGCCGGAAUCGCUAGUAAUCGCGGAUCAGAACGCCGCGGUGAAUACGUUCCCGGGCCUUGUACACACCGCCCGUCACACCACGAGAGUUUGUAACACCCAAAGUCGGUGAGGUAACCUUCGGGAGCCAGCCGCCUAAGGUGGGACAGAUAAUUGGGGUGAAGUCGUAACAAGGUAACC
rnacentral:rRNA from 1 species